UACGGAGGAUGCGAGCGUUAUCCGGAUUAUUGGGUUUAAAGGGUGCGUAGGCGGGAUGCCAAGUCAGCGGUAAAAAUGCGGUGCUCAACGCCGUCGAGCCGUUGAAACUGGCGUUCUUGAGUGGGCGAGAAGUAUGCGGAAUGCGUGGUGUAGCGGUGAAAUGCAUAGAUAUCACGCAGAACUCCGAUUGCGAAGGCAGCAUACCGGCGCCCUACUGACGCUGAGGCACGAAAGCGUGGGUAUCGAACAGG
rnacentral:rRNA from 1 species